rnacentral:snoRNA from 1 species
UUGCAUGUUAUAAGUUUUUCACCUGGAGCUGUUACUGUCUGCUGCCAAGAUUCUGGUGCAGAUGCAAGAUAAAAGGGUCCUCACACUUUCUGUCUGACUGGGACAGCCAAGAUUGAAUGAGGAAAUAUAAUG